UGUAUUCACUACUGUAAGUCGCUCUGGAUAAGAGAGUCUGCUAAAUGACUAAAA
rfam:Salmo salar isolate Sally breed double haploid chromosome ssa13, whole genome shotgun sequence.